rnacentral:rRNA from 1 species
UGGGGAAUAUUGCACAAUGGAGGGAACUCUGAUGCAGCGACGCCGCGUGAGUGAUGAAGGAAUUCGUUUCGUAAAACUCUGUUCUAUGGGAAGAAAAGGACUGUACCAUAGGAGAAAGCUCCGGCUAAAUAUGUGCCAGCAGCCGCGGUAAUACGUAUGGAGCGAGCGUUGUCCGGAAUUAUUGGGCGUAAAGGGUGCGCAGGCGGCUUUACAAGUUGGAUGUGAAAUAUUGUGGCUCAACCACAAACGUGCAUCCAAAACUGCAAAGCUUGAGUGAAGGAGAGGUAAGUGGAAUUCCUGGUGUAGCGGUGGAAUGCGUAGAUAGCAGGAGGAAUACCGGUGGCGAAGGCGACUUACUGGACUUAAACUGACGCUCAGGCACGAAAGCGUUGGGAGCAAACAGG